rnacentral:rRNA from 1 species
CUACGGGAGGCUCCAGUGGGGAAUUUUGCGCAAUGGGGGGAACCCUGACGCAGCAAUACCGCGUGAGUGAAGAAGGCCUUUGGGUCGUAAAGCUCUUUUCUGAAGGAAGAUAGUGACGGUACUUCAGGAAUAAGCACCGGCUAACUCCGUGCCAGCAGCCGCGGUAAUACGGAGGGUGCGAGCGUUGUUCGGAUUUACUGGGCGUAAAGGGCACGUAGGCGGCCUGGAAAGUUAAGGGUGAAAUCCCGGGGCUUAACUCCGGAACUGCUCUUAAAACUGCCAAGCUAGAGAUAGUCAGAGGCGGGUGGAAUUCCUGGUGUAGAGGUGAAAUUCGUAGAUAUCAGGAGGAACACCGGUGGCGAAGGCGGCCCGCUGGGGCUAUUCUGACGCUAAGGUGCGAAAGCGUGGGGAGCGAACGGGAUUAGAUACCCCUGUAGUC